rnacentral:piRNA from 1 species
AGUUGAUAUACAGGACUGAGAGAGG